CCUACGGGAGGCAGCAGUGGGGAAUUUUGGACAAUGGGCGCAAGCCUGAUCCAGCCAUUCCGCGUGAGUGAAGAAGGCCUUCGGGUUGUAAAGCUCUUUCGCAAGGGAAGAAAACUUAGUCACUAACAAUGACUGAGGUUGACGGUACCUUGAUAAGAAGCACCGGCU
rnacentral:rRNA from 1 species